GGAGUGCUUGCACUCUGUGAAACAAGAUACAGGCUAGCGGCGGACGGGUGAGUAACACGUGGGUAACCUGCCAAGAGAUCGGGAUAACACCUGGAAACAGAUGCUAAUACCGGAUAACAACAGAUGAUGCCUAUCAACUGUUUAAAAGAUGGUUCUGCUAUCACUCUUGGAUGGACCUGCGGUGCAUUAGCUAGUUGGUAGGGUAACGGCCUACCAAGGCGAUGAUGCAUAGCCGAGUUGAGAGACUGAUCGGCCACAUUGGGACUGAGACACGGCCCAAACUCCUACGGGAGGCAGCAGUAGGGAAUCUUCCACAAUGGACGCAAGUCUGAUGGAGCAACGCCGCGUGAGUGAAGAAGGGUUUCGGCUCGUAAAGCUCUGUUGUUGGUGAAGAAGGACAGGGGUAGUAACUGACCUUUGUUUGACGGUAAUCAAUUAGAAAGUCACGGCUAACUACGUGCCAGCAGCCGCGGUAAUACGUAGGUGGCAAGCGUUGUCCGGAUUUAUUGGGCGUAAAGCGAGUGCAGGCGGCUCGAUAAGUCUGAUGUGAAAGCCUUCGGCUCAACCGGAGAAUUGCAUCAGAAACUGUCGAGCUUGAGUACAGAAGAGGAGAGUGGAACUCCAUGUGUAGCGGUGAAAUGCGUAGAUAUAUGGAAGAACACCGGUGGCGAAGGCGGCUCUCUGGUCUGUUACUGACGCUGAGGCUCGAAAGCAUGGGUAGCGAACAGGAUUAGAUACCCUGGUAGUCCAUGCCGUAAACGACGAGUGCUAAGUGUUGGGAGGUUUCCGCCUCUCAGUGCUGCAGCUAACGCAUUAAGCACUCCGCCUGGGGAGUACGACCGCAAGGUUGAAACUCAAAGGAAUUGACGGGGGCC
rnacentral:rRNA from 1 species